AGAGUUUGAUCAUGGCUCAGAUUGAACGCUGGCGGCAGGCCUAACACAUGCAAGUCGAACGGUAACAGGAAGCAGCUUGCUGCUUCGCUGACGAGUGGCGGACGGGUGAGUAAUGUCUGGGAAGCUGCCUGAUGGAGGGGGAUAACUACUGGAAACGGUAGCUAAUACCGCAUAAUGUCGCAAGACCAAAGAGGGGGACCUUCGGGCCUCUUGCCAUCGGAUGUGCCCAGAUGGGAUUAGCUUGUUGGCGGGGUAACGGCUCACCAAGGCGACGAUCCCUAGCUGGUCUGAGAGGAUGACCAGCCACACUGGAACUGAGACACGGUCCAGACUCCUACGGGAGGCAGCAGUGGGGAAUAUUGCACAAUGGGCGCAAGCCUGAUGCAGCCAUGCCGCGUGUAUGAAGAAGGCCUUCGGGUUGUAAAGUACUUUCAGCGGGGAGGAAGGGAGUAAAGUUAAUACCUUUGCUCAUUGACGUUACCCGCAGAAGAAGCACCGGCUAACUCCGUGCCAGCAGCCGCGGUAAUACGGAGGGUGCAAGCGUUAAUCGGAAUUACUGGGCGUAAAGCGCACGCAGGCGGUUUGUUAAGUCAGAUGUGAAAUCCCCGGGCUCAACCUGGGAACUGCAUCUGAUACUGGCAAGCUUGAGUCUCGUAGAGGGGGGUAGAAUUCCAGGUGUAGCGGUGAAAUGCGUAGAGAUCUGGAGGAAUACCGGUGGCGAAGGCGGCCCCCUGGACGAAGACUGACGCUCAGGUGCGAAAGCGUGGGGAGCAAACAGGAUUAGAUACCCUGGUAGUCCACGCCGUAAACGAUGUCGACUUGGAGGUUGUGCCCUUGAGGCGUGGCUUCCGGAGCUAACGCGUUAAGUCGACCGCCUGGGGAGUACGGCCGCAAGGUUAAAACUCAAAUGAAUUGACGGGGGCCCGCACAAGCGGUGGAGCAUGUGGUUUAAUUCGAUGCAACGCGAAGAACCUUACCUGGUCUUGACAUCCACGGAAGUUUUCAGAGAUGAGAAUGUGCCUUCGGGAACCGUGAGACAGGUGCUGCAUGGCUGUCGUCAGCUCGUGUUGUGAAAUGUUGGGUUAAGUCCCGCAACGAGCGCAACCCUUAUCCUUUGUUGCCAGCGGUCCGGCCGGGAACUCAAAGGAGACUGCCAGUGAUAAACUGGAGGAAGGUGGGGAUGACGUCAAGUCAUCAUGGCCCUUACGACCAGGGCUACACACGUGCUACAAUGGCGCAUACAAAGAGAAGCGACCUCGCGAGAGCAAGCGGACCUCAUAAAGUGCGUCGUAGUCCGGAUUGGAGUCUGCAACUCGACUCCAUGAAGUCGGAAUCGCUAGUAAUCGUGGAUCAGAAUGCCACGGUGAAUACGUUCCCGGGCCUUGUACACACCGCCCGUCACACCAUGGGAGUGGGUUGCAAAAGAAGUAGGUAGCUUAACCUUCGGGAGGGCGCUUACCACUUUGUGAUUCAUGACUGGGGUGAAGUCGUAACAAGGUA
rnacentral:rRNA from 1 species